rnacentral:snRNA from 1 species
AAGUUGUUUUAGAUAAAAGCA